CCUACGGGGUGCUGCAGUGGGGAAUAUUGCACAAUGGGGGAAACCCUGAUGCAGCGACGCCGCGUGAGUGAAGAAGUAUUUCGGUAUGUAAAGCUCUAUCAGCAGGGAAGAAAAUGACGGUACCUGACUAAGAAGCCCCGGCUAACUACGUGCCAGCAGCCGCGGUAAUACGUAGGGGGCAAGCGUUGUUCGGAAUUACUAGGCGUAAAGGGAGCGUAGGCGGGAGAUUAAGUUAAGAGUGAAAGCCUUGGGCUCAACCCAAGAAAUGCUCUUAAUACUGGUUUUCUAGAGUGUGGGAGAGGUAAGUGGAAUUCCUAGUGUAGCGGUAGAAUGCGUAGAGAUUAGGAGGAACAUCAGAGGCGAAGGCGGCUUACUGGACCAUAACUGACGCUGAGGCUCGAAAGCGUGGGGAGCAAACAGGAUUAGAUACCCUUGUAGUC
rnacentral:rRNA from 1 species